AACUCUAAUUAAAAUAAAUUUUAAAUUAAUUUACUUAAUUAACUUAAUAUUUAUAACUUUAAACCUUUUAUUAACCUUUAUUUCAAUAAACCUUUUUCUGUUUUAUAUCUACUUUGAAAUUAGUAUAAUCCCAACUUUUUUACUAAUUAUUGGGUGAGGAAAUCAAUUUGAACGAAUUGAAGCAAGACUAUACAUAUUUAUAUACACAAUCUUUGCUUCUUUAUCAAUAAUAAUUAUUUUAAUUUUAAUAUACAAUAAUUAAAAUUUUUUAAUUAUAAAUCUUAAAGUUGACCCCUUAAAAUUUUUAAGAAAAUUAAAUUUAAAAAUAUAAUUUAAAAUUUUAAUUUUUUAUAAAAAUGUAAUAAUUUAUAAAAAUUUAAUUAAAAAAUUUGAGUAAUAAUUUUAUGUUAAGUAUUAUUAAAAUUUAUAAAUUAAUUUAAAUUUUAUAGUAAUAAUGAUUAAAUUAGUAAAUAUAUAAAAUUAAAAUAAAUUAUAUUGUAAUAAAUAUUAAAAUUUAAAGUAAUGAAUUAAGCAAAUUAAUUUAUUUACCUGUUUAAUAAAAACAUGUCUUUAAAAAUAUUUAUUUAAAGUCAAAUCUACUCAAUGAAUUAAUUAAAUAGUUGCAAUAUUUUGAUUGUACAAAGGUAGCAUAAUAAAUUGUCUUUUAAUUAAAGAAUUGUAUGAAUGAUUUAAUAAAAUAAUAACUUUAUUAUUUUAAAAGAAAUUAAAUUUUAUUAUUAAGUAAAAAAUCUUAAAUAAAUUUAUUAGACGAGAAGACCCUAUAAAAUUUUAUAGAGUAAUUAUGUUAAAUUUUAAAAUUAAAAAUUUAAUAUAUUUAAUUUUAUUUUUUUGGGGGUAUAAAAAAAUUAGUAUAAUUUUUUUAUUAAUAAAUAUAUUAAUAAAUAAAAUUAAUAAAAGAGUGAUUAUAAUAAAUAUUAAUAGAUUAAAUUACUUUAGGGAUAACAGCAUAAUAUUUUUAGAGAGAUCUUAUUGAUAAAAAAGUUUAUGACCUCGAUGUUGAAUUAAGAUAAAUAUUUAAUGAAGAAAUUUAAUUAUUAAGUUUGUUCAACUUUUAAAAUCUUACAUGAUUUGAGUUAAAAUCGGUGUGAGCCAGAUUGGCUUCUAUCUAUAAAUAAUUUUUAAGUAAUUGUACGAAAGGACUUUAACUUUUAAUAAAUAGUAAAAAAUUAAUUUUGAUGGAAUAAAAUUAAUGGUCUUAUGAAAAUUUAAU
rnacentral:rRNA from 1 species